rnacentral:rRNA from 1 species
AUUGAACGCUGGCGGCAUGCCUUACACAUGCAAGUCGAACGGUAACGGGCCUUCGGGUGCCGACGAGUGGCGAACGGGUGAGUAAUACAUCGGAACGUGCCCGAUCGUGGGGGAUAACGAGGCGAAAGCUUUGCUAAUACCGCACACGAUCUACGGAUGAAAGCAGGGGACCGCAAGGCCUUGCGUGGACGGAGCGGCCGAUGGUGGCUUAGGUAGUUGUUGGGAUAAAAGCUUACCAAGCCGACGACCUGUAGCUGGUCUGAGAGGAUGAUCAGCCGCACGGGGACGGAGACACGGCCCAGACUCCUACGGGAGGCAGCAGUGGGGAAUUUUGGGCAAAGGGCGCAAGCCUGAUCCAGCCAUGCCGCGUGCAGGAUGAAGGCCUUCGGGUUGUAAACUGCUUUUGUACGGAACGAAAAGCCUUCUUUUAAUACAGGAGGGUCAUGACGGUACCGUAAGAAUAAGCACCGGCUAACUACGUG